CCUACGGGUGGCUGCAGUGGGGAAUAUUGGACAAUGGGCGAAAGCCUGAUCCAGCCAUGCCGCGUGUGUGAAGAAGGCCUUCGGGUUGUAAAGCACUUUCAGUGGGGAAGAAAGCCUUGGGGCUAAUACCCUCGAGGAAGGACAUCACCCACAGAAGAAGCACCGGCUAACUCCGUGCCAGCAGUCGCGGUAAUACGGAGGGUGCGAGCGUUAAUCGGAAUUACUGGGCGUAAAGCGCGCGUAGGCGGUCUGAUAAGCCGGUUGUGAAAGCCCCGGGCUCAACCUGGGAACGGCAUCCGGAACUGUCAGGCUAGAGUGCAGGAGAGGAAGGUAGAAUUCCCGGUGUAGCGGUGAAAUGCGUAGAGAUCGGGAGGAAUACCAGUGGCGAAGGCGGCCUUCUGGACUGACACUGACGCUGAGGUGCGAAAGCGUGGGUAGCAAACAGGAUUAGAUACCCUGUAGUC
rnacentral:rRNA from 1 species